GAGUUACAAAUGUGUUUCUUUGUUAAAUUAUUAUUUCUUAUUCAUUUUAUAUUGAGAAUUUGUGAAUUUUAUCUUAUUCAGUUAUUUUUAUUUAUUUUGUUGUUUUUGCCUGCGGGGGUCGCCCUUCUGCUCUCCGCCUCGUUUGUGUUUCCUGGGCUUCCGUAGUUUACUCCAGCCCUCGUAGCUCUUCUGCCCCCCCUUUUUCCCUCAGAGCGGUGUUCUGUGCUGCUGUGGAGUCGGAGUGCAGGGAGAAGGAGUUGAGGAGGUUGUUCAUUUGUUUUCCCUUCUUCCCCCAGGUAUGUGUUUGUAUUUUUAAUUUAUACUUUUUAUCUCUGUUUAUUUAACUCUGUCCCACUGUAUUGUGUUGUUGUGGCCACCAGGUGGCGUUUUUCUCCUCUUGUUUUUAGUUUACGAUUUUUGUGAGAAGAUUUCUUUUUUUGUUAACUUUUGUUAAGUCUGAGAG